CUUGUACUCCCUUCGUUCGAAAAUACUUGUCAUUGAAAUGGAUGUAUCUAGAUGUAUUUUAGUUCUAGACACAUCCAUUUUGAUGACAAGUAAUUCCGGACAGAGGGAGUACUUG
rnacentral:pre_miRNA from 1 species